AGCAGCCGCGGUAAUUCCAGCUCCAAUAGCGUAUAUUAAAGUUGUUGCAGUUAAAAAGCUCGUAGUUGAAUUUCGGGAUUGACACAUCGGUCGUGCCUUAAGGGGUAUGAACUGGUGUAGUCAAUUUCUCACCUUCUGGAGAACCGCAAUGCCCUUAAUUGGGUGUCGCGGGGAACCAGGACCUUUACUUUGAAAAAAUUAGAGUGUUUAAAGCAGGCAUUUUGCUUGAAUACAUUAGCAUGGAAUAAUAAAAUAGGACGGCAUGAUUCUAUUUUGUUGGUUUCUAGGAUCACCGUAAUGAUUAAUAGGGAUAGUUGGGGGCAUUAGUAUUCAAUUGUCAGAGGUGAAAUUCUUGGAUUUAUUGAAGACUAACUACUGCGAAAGCAUUUGCCAAGGAUGUUUUCAUUAAUCAAGAACGAAAGUUAGGGGAUCGAAGACGAUCAGAUACCGUCGUAGUCUUAACCAUAAACUAUGCCGACUAGGAAUCAGACGAUGUUAAUUUUUAAUGACUCGUUUGGCA
rnacentral:rRNA from 1 species